GACGAACACUGGCGGCGUGCUUAACACAUGCCAGUCGAACGGAAAGGCCCUGCUUUUGUGGGGUGCUCGAGUGGCGAACGGGUGAGUAAUACGUGAGUAACCUGCCCUUGACUUUGGGAUAACUUCAGGAAACUGGGGCUAAUACCGGAUAGGAGCUCCUGCUGCAUGGUGGGGGUUGGAAAGUUUCGGCGGUUGGGGAUGGACUCGCGGCUUAUCAGCUUGUUGGUGGGGUAGUGGCUUACCAAGGCUUUGACGGGUAGCCGGCCUGAGAGGGUGACCGGCCACAUUGGGACUGAGAUACGGCCCAGACUCCUACGGGAGGCAGCAGUGGGGAAUAUUGCACAAUGGGCGGAAGCCUGAUGCAGCAACGCCGCGUGCGGGAUGACGGCCUUCGGGUUGUAAACCGCUUUCGCCUGUGACGAAGCGUGAGUGACGGUAAUGGGUAAAGAAGCACCGGCUAACUACGUG
rnacentral:rRNA from 1 species